GGGCGUGCGGGUGCUGGAAGCAGGUACGUGCGGGGGCCUGCGGACUUAGUUCUCUUCCACCACACCGGCAAACCGGAGGGCCGAGGCUCCCAGAACGUUUUCUUAGCAAAUUCGGACACUACAAUUGCUUAGUGCUUCAAAAGGGGAAAAUUAAGCUGCCUGGUGACUCUACUAAGGGAAUAGAUAGAGAUUAUUCUGGGAAUAUUAGUUUAUACAUCGGAAGGGAAAGCACGGAAUUGGCAUCCUUUAAAAAAAAAAAAAUGAACUCAAAUGCGCCCCAGGAUCCGAGCCUUGGUUCAUGCAGUUAGAAGGAAGGGUCUUCAGGGGCCACUUAGAGAAGUCUCUCAAUUUACCGAUGAGGAAAUUGAGAGCCAGGGAGCUUGCGGUUGGCUCACGAUCACAUGGCCACUAAGAAUGGAGGAGGGGAGGGUGAACCCAGCUCGGACCUGAGAGAGCACUCGUCAGCCCCUUAGCAUCCGACUGCCCCAUCACGCACCGGAAGAUUCCUAAUCCAGCACUAUAGUAAACAUAACAACAAGCCCUUGCUACUUGGUGAGCAGAGUAAAUGGAUGUGUAAUUGUCAGGGUGCUAGUAGGAGAAUCCUUUCCUCCCCCUCCCCCCAUCCAUUACCUGGUUUCUGAUAGGAGAGUCCCUUCCCUCCCCUUAUCCUAUCCCAAACCCACCGGUUUAAGUUCCUUCUAACUUUCAAAUUAUGUGAUUCUAAUUAGGAGCAAAUCAGAGACGAAGAAGAGCAAGUGAGUUUAUCUGCUCGGACUCCAGGCAACUUUUGAGGGCUGUUUGGAAAGCAGACUGGAGUUAUCCCUUUGCUCGGCCUGUCUGACCUGAGCAGCUCAUCAGCAGAGAUUUACUUAUUCUCUAGUCAUUCCAGAAUGCAGAUGAGGAAAACUGAGGCCUAGGAAAAGACUUUUUUGAGGUUUUUGAAAGGAGUCACUUCAAAGUCAUCCUCCAGGAUUACUGGCUUUGGUCCAUGAAUCUUUUAAAGGUCAGAAGUACAGUGGGAUCUGGAGUGAAGAAGACUCAAACGUGCCUCAGAUACUUAUUAGUUGUGGGACUCUGCACAAAUGAUUUCACCUCUGCCUCUAUUUCCUCAUCUGUAAAAUGGAGAUGCUAAUAGCACUCACCUCACAGGGGGAUGCUGAGAGCUCUUCGCUCUGACAGAAGAGGUAAGCACUCCUACGAUAUUCAAGCCACACAGACUUUUAUUAUUCCUGUGACUACAGAGAGACAGCAAGACAGGGAAUGCGGACGGGCAGUUGGUGCUGCCAGCUGCCAAAUAUGCAUUCUGAAGAUAAGCUCAUUUCAAGGAAUGAGGCAAGUUUUAAUGAUCAGAGCAAGGUGAGGAGCCAGCUUGGCCAGUCAGAGAGAGACGUGAAAGAACGAGGGUCAGGGCUGGCUGAAUACAAAGACCAGAAGGCAAAGCCAGGUAAGGCAGCCAAAGUUCGGCUAAGGAGAAAGCCGGUAUUGUAGAGGAAUGGAAGAAGGGCAAAUAGAAGAGCAAAGAGAUUCAGAGGCUCACAGAGAGCUGGCAUACUAGCUGAUGGAUGUAAAGCCCUGGGCUAGGCUUCAAGGACUACUUUCUGUGAGCUGAUACUUGUUGCUUCCACCAGGGAACUCUGUGCUUCCAGGAAAGUAGAUGCAACAAACAUGGCAGCCUCAAUGGGAGGAAUGAACAGCGCUCUUCCCAACCUUUCCAAUUCAACAAGUUUUUAUUAAGCACAUGCUAUACGCUGCCGUUCUCCAAGAAGACCAUGAUGUCAGGGAGGUGAUGCCGUCCAACUAAACUGGAUUUAAGUGAGGGAGGGACCACAGAGUCACCAGUUCAACCUCUGAUCAUACAAAGAAAACAGUCAUGUGCUUAGAUAAGUAAAUAGAAAAUUCGAAGAAAAUAAAUACAAAGUAACUUUGAGGGGUGGGGACCACCACCUAGGAGAUCAAGAUCUUAUUUAAGCUAUGGAGAGUGAGCCAGGAAUCAUGAAGACCGGACAGACACGUCCCAAUCAGGGAUCCUGUGCUCUGUUCUUCUGACGUUAAGUUCAAGGCUCUUUCCCUUCCUCCCUCUGCCUGGAUAUCCAUGACUGUGCACAGGGAUAGGCAAUUGUGUAUGUGGGCCUGAAAAGUAGGAAGCCCGAGUUCCCCCCCAGCUCCAGAACUUCCCAACUAUAUGAGGCCGGGCAAACUGAUUAAUCUUUCCAGACCUCAGUCUCCUGAUCUGUAAAAUGACAAUGAAUAAUAAUACUCAUUCUUUAUUUUUGUCCGACUUUAAGAAUGACAUGGUUCUUUCCUAAAAUAGUUGGAGGGAUCGCAGAGUGCUCAUUAAAUGGAAACUUUCCCUCCACGACUCCAGACCAACAGGUCCAGCAGGCUCUCCCCCUGCUGGACCUCAGAAGGUCACAUUCCUGGGAACAAAAAGGAGGACCUGAAGCCCAAGAAGCUGGGGGAAUGGCCCAACUCACAGAGGGGCAGAAAUCCCCACCAGGUCCCCUGCCUCUGGACUCAGCACACUUGCCACUGUCCCCCCCGAUUCCCACCAUCGCUGAUCCUCCCCUUUAUAGACUGCGUUACAGUUUCCUAAGUUGUAAAAAAGGAUUUACUAGAAACAAUAAUAAACAUUCAAACAACCAGUUAAA